rnacentral:lncRNA from 1 species
AGUGGUGUGAAUUUUUUAGAUGCUAGGCUUUUAUCCAAAGCUGUGUGUGUUAGUUUUUUUAAUUGGCAAUAAUUAUUUUUUUCUUCAAAUUAUGGCUAUAUUUGUGUUUUGCUCAAAAAGGUCUGGGCUUUUUCAGUAUCUUGGUGUUUGACUUCUAAUUCCUGUAAAUAAAAGCUCAAAUAUUUUGUUCAUGGGCCUCUCG